UCCGUACUGGUGUAUCGGUAACAUUUCCGCCUCUCAUUCCUGAUGAUUGUGCGCGGUAGCGCAGGGUUCGACUCCCUGGUACGGAA